rnacentral:rRNA from 1 species
UACGAAGGGUGCAAGCGUUAAUCGGAAUUACUGGGCGUAAAGCGUGCGUAGGCGGUUUCUUAAGUCCGUUGUGAAAGCCCUGGGCUCAACCUGGGAACUGCGAUGGAUACUGAGGAGCUGGAGUACGGUAGAGGAAGGUGGAAUUCCCGGUGUAGCAGUGAAAUGCGUAGAUAUCAGGAGGGAUACCGAUGGCGAAGGCAGGUCUCUGGGCUGACACUGACGCUCAUGCACGAAAGCGUGGGGAGCAAACAGG